CACGGAGGGGACUAGCGUUGUUCGGAAUUACUGGGCGUAAAGCGCACGUAGGCGGAUUUGUAAGUCAGGGGUGAAAUCCCGGGGCUCAACCUCGGAACUGCCUUUGAUACUGCAAAUCUCGAGUCCGGAAGAGGUGAGUGGAAUUCCUAGUGUAGAGGUGAAAUUCGUAGAUAUUAGGAAGAACACCAGUGGCGAAGGCGGCUCACUGGUCCGGUACUGACGCUGAGGUGCGAAAGCGUGGGGAGCAAACAGG
rnacentral:rRNA from 1 species